rnacentral:rRNA from 1 species
GACGAACGCUGGCGGCGUGCUUAACACAUGCAAGUCGAACGGAAAGGCCCUGCUUUUGUGGGGUGCUCGAGUGGCGAACGGGUGAGUAACACGUGAGUAACCUGCCCUUGACUUUGGGAUAACUUCAGGAAACUGGGGCUAAUACCGGAUAGGAGCUCCUGCUGCAUGGUGGGGGUUGGAAAGUUUCGGCGGUUGGGGAUGGACUCGCGGCUUAUCAGCUUGUUGGUGGGGUAGUGGCUUACCAAGGCUUUGACGGGUAGCCGGCCUGAGAGGGUGACCGGCCACAUUGGGACUGAGAGACGGCCCAGACUCCUACGGGAGGCAGCAGUGGGGAAUAUGGCACAAUGGGCGGAAGCCUGAUGCAGCAACGCCGCGUGCGGGAUGACGGCCUUCGGGUUGUAAACCGCUUUCGCCUGUGACGAAGCGUGAGUGACGGUAAUGGGUAAAGAAGCACCGGCUAACUACGUG